CCUACGGGGGGCUGCAGUGGGGAAUAUUGCGCAAUGGGCGAAAGCCUGACGCAGCGACGCCGCGUGAGGGAUGAAGGUCUUCGGAUCGUAAACUUCUGUCAGCAGGGAAGAACGGUCACUGUGCUAAUCAGCAGUGAAUUGACGGUACCUGCAAAGGAAGCACCGGCUAACUCCGUGCCAGCAGCCGCGGCAGUACGGCGGGUGGGAGCGUUAAUCGGAAUAAUUGGGCGUAACGCGCUCGUAGGCGGUAUGUCAAGUCAAGGGUGAAAUCCCCGCGCUCAACGUGGGAACUGCCUUUGAAACUGGCAAACUGGAGUGUGUGAGAGGAUAGUGGAAUGCCAGGUGUAGGAGUGAAAUCCGUAGAUAUCAGGAGGAACAUCAGUGGCGAAGGCGACUAUCUGGCACAUAACUGACGCUGAGGAGCGAAAGCGUGGGUAGCAAACAGGAUUAGAUACCCUUGUAGUC
rnacentral:rRNA from 1 species